AUAUCAAUAAGCGGAGGAAAAGAAACUAACUAGGAUUCCCUCAGUAACGGCGAGUGAAGAGGGAAGAGCCCAGCACCGAAGCCUGCGGCAGAUUUGCUGUUAGGCAAUGUGGUGUGUGGGUCGGCUCGCGGGAUCGUCACUCCACUCGAAGUCCAGCAUUGAGUAUGGUUAUCACUGGAUUUGGCCCAUAGAGGGUGAGAGGCCCGUACGGGUGGAGGCUCAGGCAAGUAAGACGAUUCACCAGGUCGACCUCAGAGUCGGGUUGUUUGAGAUUGCAGCCCAAAGUGGGUGGUAAACUCCAUCCAAGGCUAAAUACAAGCACGAGUCCGAUAGCGAACAAGUACCGUGAGGGAAAGUUGAAAAGUACUCUGAAGAGAGAGUAAACAGUACGUGAAGCCGCAUGCAGGUAAACGGGUGGCGUCAAGCUGCGAGCCCGGAGGAUUCAGCUGGUUGGGUUGUAGUGUACGCGCCUGGUGCGUCGAUGGCCAGAAUAAGAUGCUGGUGGUUCUCUCCUCUUCUGGGAGAGAGGUGCGAUUGGGGCAACUCAAUUGUCAUCAUGCGAGCUGGUGUGUUGCCAGUGCAUGCUACUCGUCUGUUGGGCCACCCAGCCAGUGCACUUUCUCCGUGGUGAACACCACGACCGGUGGUAUUGCCAGUCUACUAUGGUCAAGUUAUACCCCUCUCUUUUCCCGUCUUGUGGCCACCUCGGUGGUUGUGAGUCUGGUGGAUGGAUGAGUGGGUAUGAUCGCAGGCGGAUUGAAUGAACGGCGUAGUGGUGCUUCGGUACUGCUGCGUGUUAUCGUGCAUUCGCCGCUGUAAACGAGGCCGGCUUGGGUGUGUUGUAACUGCACUUGUUGGCUUUCUCGGCGGACCAUGGUGGUGAAAAUGACUGUGCAGGGCACCGGGGUUAACCACCUCAUUGUAAAAUGAUAUCCGGCACGCACGUUACAGGUGCAGCAGCAGUGAUCUGAGGCGUGUGGCUGUCUGGAGGUGUUGGGCCUGACUAUCGUGUUGCCUGCAAAAAGUAGGUCCGGUAGUGGUUUACAAAUGCCUUUCAGUGUGCAGUUUUUAACGCGAUUCCUCAGGGUGCCUGUGAUAUCGGGGGUGAAAUAGUCAGUGGUGCUGUGGUAGACGAGCUACCCGACCCGUCUUGAAACACGGACCAAGGAGUUUAACAUGUAUGCGAGUCAAAGGGUCCUACGAAACCCCGAGGCGAAAUGAAAGUGAAGUUUGUGCUGUGCUUACGCUCAUGUUACAAUGACACGCAGUACAGCACAAUAUGGUGAGAUCCCGCUGUUAGUCGCAGUAGCCAGGUGUCGUUAUUCAAACGCCAGGCAUAAGGGCAGUGGGCGCAUCACCGGUCCGUCCCAUGGUGUAGUCAUGGGUAUACCAUUAGUUAUGUUGCCUUCUUCUCGGAGGUGGCGCUGGCUAAACCUAUGCGACAUCGGGGCGGAACAUGAGCAUACACGUUGAGACCCGAAAGAUGGUGAACUAUGCUUGCGUAGGUUGAAGCCAGAGGAAACUCUGGUGGAGGACCGUAGCGAUUCUGACGUGCAAAUCGAUCGUCAAACGUGAGUAUAGGGG
rnacentral:rRNA from 1 species